GUAAUUCUUAUCUUCUAUUAUUUAGCUUAAAUUUUAUCACUUCAACCCGCCAAUAAAACAACUCUAUUUCCCGAAUUUAAGAUUCAGAUCGAGUCGCUAAAAGUAGUGUGAAAAAAAUAUACGGUGUGAUCACGGUUUGUAGUACAUCUUACUAUUUCAACUGGAUAACUCAAGAUCAAAUGGAGUUUUCAAGAGGUGAUAGGAGAUACCGAAGCAUAUAUUUAC